GAUGAACGCUGGCGGCGUGCCUAAUACAUGCAAGUCGAGCGAACAGACGAGGAUCUUGCUCCUCUGACGUUAGCGGCGGACGGGUGAGUAACACGUGGAUAACCUACCUCUAAGACUGGGAUAACUUCGGGAAACCGGAGCUAAUACCGGAUAAUAUAUUUAACCGCAUGGUUCUAUAGUGAAAUACGGUUUUGCUGUCACUUAUAGAUUGAUCCGCGCCUCAUUAGCUAGUUGGUAAGGUAACGGCUUACCAAGGCCACGAUGAGUAGCCGACCUGAGAGGGGGAUCGGCCACACUGGAACUGAGACACGGUCCAGAGUCCUAGGGGAGGCACAAGUUGGGAAUGUUGCGAACAGGGCGAAAGCCUGCAGGAGCAACGCCACGUGAGUGAUGAAGGUCUUCGGAUCGUAAAACUCUGUUAUUAGGGAAGAACCAAUGUGUAAGUAACUAUGCACGUCUUGACGGUACCUAAUCAGAAAGCCACGGCUAACUACGUG
rnacentral:rRNA from 1 species